rnacentral:rRNA from 1 species
UACGUAGGGCGCAAGCGUUAUCCGGAAUCAUUGGGCGUAAAGAGCUCGUAGGCGGCUCAGUAAGUCGGGUGUGAAACCCUCAGGCUCAACCUGGGGACGCCACCCGAUACUGCUGUGGCUAGAGUCCAGUAGGGGAGUGUGGAAUUCCCGGUGUAGCGGUGAAAUGCGCAGAUAUCGGGAGGAACACCAGCGGCGAAGGCGGCACUCUGGGCUGGUACUGACGCUGAGGAGCGAAAGCGUGGGUAGCAAACAGG